AUUGAACGCUGGCGGCAGGCCUAACACAUGCAAGUCGAACGAGUGGCGGACGGGUGAGUAAUGUCUGGGAAACCGCCCGAUGGAGGGGGAUAACAACUCGAAAAGGUAGCGAAUAUCCCGUACCAUCGGAUAUGCCCAGAUGGGAUUAGCUGGUGGGUGAGGUAACGGCUCACCUAGGCGACGAUCCCUAGCUGGUCUGAGAGGAUGACAAGCCACACUGGAACUGAGACACGGUCCAGACUCCUACGGGAGGAAGCAGUGGGGAAUAUUGCACAAUGGGCGCAAGCCUGAUGCAGCCAUGCCGCGUGUAUGAAGAAGGCCUUCGGGUUGUAAAGUACUUUCAGCGGGGAGGCGUUACCCGCAGAAGAAGCACCGGCUAACUCCGUGCCAGCAGCCGCGGUAAUUC
rnacentral:rRNA from 1 species